AACGAACGCUGGCGGCAUGCCUAACACAUGCAAGUCGAACGAGACCUUCGGGUCUAGUGGCGCACGGGUGCGUAACGCGUGGGAAUCUACCCUUAGGUUCGGAAUAACUCAGGGAAACUUGAGCUAAUACCGGAUGAUGACUUCGGUCCAAAGAUUUAUCGCCUAAGGAUGAGCCCGCGUAGGAUUAGCUAGUUGGUGAGGUAAAGGCUCACCAAGGCUACGAUCCUUAGCUGGCUGAGAGGAUGAUCAGCCACACUGGGACUGAGACACGGCCCAGACUCCUACGGGAGGCAGCAGUGGGGAAUAUUGGACAAUGGGCGAAAGCCUGAUCCAGCAAUGCCGCGUGAGUGAUGAA
rnacentral:rRNA from 1 species